rnacentral:rRNA from 1 species
GUUGAGAUGCGGCACGGUGACGUGGAAUGAGGAAGGGGGGAAGCGGUAAUCGGAAUGACUGGGCGGAAAGGGGGCGUAGGCGGGUCGUGAAGUCGGUCGUGAAAUACCCGGGGGCAACCGUGGAAUGGCGAGGGGUACUGGCGAGCUAGAGUGUGGCAGAGGAUGGUGGAAUUCCCGGUGUAGCGGUGAAAUGCGUAGAGAUCGGGAGGAACAUCAGUGGCGAAGGCGGCCAUCUGGGACAACACUGACGCUGAAGCACGAAAGCGUGGGGAGCAAACAGGAUUAGAUACCCGAGUAGUC